GAUGAACGCUGGCGGCGUGCCUAAUACAUGCAAGUCGAGCGAACGGACGAGAAUCUUGCUUCUCUGAUGUUAGCGGCGGACGGGUGAUUAACACGUGGAUAACCUACAUAUAAGACUGGGAUAACUUCGGGAAACCGUAGCUAAUACCGGAUAAUAGUUUGAACCGGAUGGUUCAAAAGUGAAAGCCGGUCUUGCUGUCACUUAUGGAUGGAACCGCGCUGCAUUGGCUAGUUGGUACGGUAACGGCUUACCAAGGCAACGAUGCAUAGCUGACCUGAGAGGGUGAUCAGCCACACUGGAACUGAGACACGGUCCAGACUCCUACGGGAGGCAGCAGUAGGGAAUAUUCCGCAAUGGGCGAAAGCCUGACGGAGCAACGCCGCGUGAGUGAUGAAGGUCUUCGGAUCGUAAAACUCUGUUAGUAGGGAAGAACAUAUGUGUAAGUAACUGUGCACAUCUUGACGGUACCUAAUCAGAAAGCCACGGCUAACUACGUG
rnacentral:rRNA from 1 species